UACGGAGGGUGCAAGCGUUAUCCGGAUUCACUGGGUUUAAAGGGUGCGUAGGAGGGCAGGUAAGUCAGUGGUGAAAUCCCCGAGCUUAACUUGGGAACUGCCGUUGAUACUAUCUGUCUUGAAUACCGUGGAGGUGAGCGGAAUAUGUCAUGUAGCGGUGAAAUGCUUAGAUAUGACAUAGAACACCAAUCGCGAAGGCAGCUCGCUACACGAAUAUUGACUCUGAGGCACGAAAGCGUGGGGAUCAAACAGG
rnacentral:rRNA from 1 species